GACGAACGCUGGCGGCGUGCUUAACACAUGCAAGUCGAACGGAAAGGCCCUGCUUUUGUGGGGUGCUCGAGUGGCGAACGGGUGAGUAACACGUGAGUAACCUGCCCUUGACUUUGGGAUAACUUCAGGAAACUGGGGCUAAUACCGGAUAGGAGCUCCUGCUGCAUGGAGGGGGUUGGAAAGUUUCGGCGGUUGGGGAUGGACUCGCGGCUUAUCAGCUUGUUGGUGGGGUAGUGGCUUAACAAGGCUUUGACGGGUAGCCGGCCUGAGAGGGUGACCGGCCACAUUGGGACUGAGAUACGGCCCAGACUCCUACGGGAGGCAGCAGUGGGGAAUCUUGCACAAUGGGCUGAAGCCUGAUGCAGCACCGCCGCGUGCGGGAUGACGGCCUUCGGGUUGUAAACCGCUUUCGCCUGUGACGAAGCGUGAGUGACGGUAAUGGGUAAAGAAGCACCGGCUAACUACGUG
rnacentral:rRNA from 1 species